rnacentral:rRNA from 1 species
CAGCCGCCACGGUAAUACGUAGGGUGCAAGCGUUAAUCGGAAUUACUGGGCGUAAAGCGUGCGCAGGCGGUUAUAUAAGACAGAUGUGAAAUCCCCGGGCUCAACCUGGGAACUGCAUUUGUGACUGUAUAGCUAGAGUACGGCAGAGGGGGAUGGAAUUCCGCGUGUAGCAGUGAAAUGCGUAGAUAUGCGGAGGAACACCGAUGGCGAAGGCAAUCCCCUGGGCCUGUACUGACGCUUAUGCACGAAAGCGUGGGGAGCAAACAGGAUUAGAUACCCCUGUAGUCCCUGUCUCUUAUAC